rnacentral:rRNA from 1 species
CUAAGAGCGAAUGGUGGAUGCCUUGACUGGUAAAGGCGAUGAAGGACGUACUAGACUGCGAUAAGCUACGGGGAGCUGUCAAGAAGCUUUGAUCCGUAGAUUUCCGAAUGGGGCAACCCAAUGUAUAGAGAUAUACAUUACCUAUAUAGGAGCGAACGAGGGGAAUUGAAACAUCUUAGUACCCUCAGGAAAAGAAAUCAAUAGAGAUUGCGUCAGUAGCGGCGAGCGAAAGCGCAAGAGGGCAAACCCAGUGCUUGCACUGGGGGUUGUAGGACUGCAAUGUGCAAGAGGUAAGUUUAGCAGAACAUUCUGGAAAGUAUAACCAUAGAGGGUGAUAGUCCCGUAUGCGAAAAACAAACCUUAGCUAGCAGUAUCCUGAGUAGGGCGGGACACGAGGAAUCCUGUCUGAAUCCGGGUCGACCACGAUCCAACCCUAAAUACUAAUACCAGAUCGAUAGUGCACAAGUACCGUGAGGGAAAGGUGAAAAGAACUGAGGUGAUCAGAGUGAAAUAGAACCUGAAACCAUUUGCUUACAAUCAUUCAGAGCCCUAUGUAGCAAUACAGGGUGAUGGACUGCCUUUUGCAUAAUGAGCCUGCGAGUUGUGGUGUCUGGCAAGGUUAAGCAAACGCGAAGCCGUAGCGAAAGCGAGUCUGAAUAGGGCGCUUAGUCAGAUGCUGCAGACCCGAAACGAAGUGAUCUAUCCAUGAGCAAGUUGAAGCUAGUGUAAGAACUAGUGGAGGACUGAACCCAUAGGCGUUGAAAAGCCCCGGGAUGACUUGUGGAUAGGGGUGAAAGGCCAAUCAAACUUCGUGAUAGCUGGUUCUCUCCGAAAUAUAUUUAGGUAUAGCGUUGUGUCGUAAUAUAAGGGGGUAGAGCACUGAAUGGGCUAGGGCAUACACCAAUGUACCAAACCCUAUCAAACUCCGAAUACCUUAUAUGUAAUCACAGCAGUCAGGCGGCGAGUGAUAAAAUCCGUCGUCAAGAGGGAAACAACCCAGACUACCAGCUAAGGUCCCUAAAUCUUACUUAAGUGGAAAACGAUGUGAAGUUACUUAAACAACCAGGAGGUUGGCUUAGAAGCAGCCAUCCUUUAAAGAAAGCGUAAUAGCUCACUGGUCUAGUGAUUUUGCGCGGAAAAUAUAACGGGGCUAAAGUAAGUACCGAAGCUGUAGACUUNNAAGUGGUAGGAGAGCGUUCUAUUUGCGUCGAAGGUAUACCGGUAAGGAGUGCUGGAGCGAAUAGAAGUGAGCAUGCAGGCAUGAGUAGCGAUAAUUAAUGUGAGAAUCAUUAACGCCGUAAACCCAAGGUUUCCUACGCGAUGCUCGUCAUCGUAGGGUUAGUCGGGUCCUAAGUCGAGUCCGAAAGGGGUAGACGAUGGCAAAUUGGUUAAUAUUCCAAUACCAACAUUAGUGUGCGAUGGAAGGACGCUUAGGGCUAAGGGGGCUAGCGGAUGGAAGUGCUAGUCUAAGGUCGUAGGAGGUUAUACAGGCAAAUCCGUAUAACAAUACUCCGAGAACUGAAAGGCUUUUUGAAGUCUUCGGAUGGAUAGAAGAACCCCUGAUGCCGUCGAGCCAAGAAAAGUUUCUAAGUUUAGCUAAUGUUGCCCGUACCGUAAACCGACACAGGUGGGUGGGAUGAGUAUUCUAAGGCGCGUGGAAGAACUCUCUUUAAGGAACUCUGCAAAAUAGCACCGUAUCUUCGGUAUAAGGUGUGGUUAGCUUUGUAUUAGGAUUUACUCCGAAAGCAAGGAAACUUACAACAAAGAGUCCCUCCCGACUGUUUACCAAAAACACAGCACUCUGCUAACUCGUAAGAGGAUGUAUAGGGUGUGACGCCUGCCCGGUGCUCGAAGGUUAAUUGAUGGGGUUAGCAUUAGCGAAGCUCUUGAUCGAAGCCCGAGUAAACGGCGGCCGUAACUAUAACGGUCCUAAGGUAGCGAAAUUCCUUGUCGGUUAAAUACCGACCUGCAUGAAUGGCGUAACGAGAUGGGAGCUGUCUCAAAGAGGGAUCCAGUGAAAUUGUAGUGGAGGUGAAAAUUCCUCCUACCCGCGGCAAGACGGAAAGACCCCGUGGACCUUUACUACAGCUUGACACUGCUACUUGGAUAAGAAUGUGCAGGAUAGGUGGGAGGCUUUGAGUAUAUGACGCCAGUUGUAUAUGAGCCAUUGUUGAGAUACCACUCUUUCUUAUUUGGGUAGCUAACCAGCUUGAGUUAUCCUCAAGUGGGACAAUGUCUGGUGGGUAGUUUGACUGGGGCGGUCGCCUCCCAAAUAAUAACGGAGGCUUACAAAGGUUGGCUCAGAACGGUUGGAAAUCGUUCGUAGAGUAUAAAGGUAUAAGCCAGCUUAACUGCAAGACAUACAAGUCAAGCAGAGACGAAAGUCGGUCUUAGUGAUCCGGUGGUUCUGUGUGGAAGGGCCAUCGCUCAAAGGAUAAAAGGUACCCCGGGGAUAACAGGCUGAUCUCCCCCAAGAGCUCACAUCGACGGGGAGGUUUGGCACCUCGAUGUCGGCUCAUCGCAUCCUGGGGCUGGAGCAGGUCCCAAGGGUAUGGCUGUUCGCCAUUUAAAGCGGUACGCGAGCUGGGUUCAGAACGUCGUGAGACAGUUCGGUCCCUAUCUGCCGUGGGCGUAAGAAGAUUGAAGAGAUUUGACCCUAGUACGAGAGGACCGGGUUGAACAAACCACUGGUGUAGCUGUUGUUCUGCCAAGAGCAUCGCAGCGUAGCUAAGUUUGGAAAGGAUAAACGCUGAAAGCAUCUAAGCGUGAAGCCAACUCUAAGAUGAAUCUUCUCUAAGCUCUCUAGAAGACUACUAGUUUGAUAGGCUGGGUGUGUAAUGGAUGAAAGUCCUUUAGCUGACCAGUACUAAUAGAGCGUUUGGCUUAUCU